rnacentral:rRNA from 1 species
GACGAACGCUGGCGGCGUGCUUAACACAUGCAAGUCGAACGGAAAGGCCCUGCUUUUGUGGGGUGCUCGAGUGGCGAACGGGUGAGUAGCACGUGAGUAACCUGCCCUUGACUUUGGGAUAACUUCAGGAAACUGGGGCUAAUACCGGAUAGGAGCUCCUGCUGCAUGGUGGGGGUUGGAAAGUUUCGGCGGUUGGGGAUGGACUCGCGGCUUAUCAGCUUGUUGGUGGGGUAGUGGCUUACCAAGGCUUUGACGGGUAGCCGGCCUGAGAGGGUGACCGGCCACAUUGGGACUGAGAUACGGCGCAGACUCCUACGGAAGGAAGCAGUGGGGAAUAUUGCACAAUGGGCGGAAGCCUGAUGCAGAAACGCCGCGUGCGGGAUGACGGCCUUCGGGUUGUAAACCGCUUUCGCCUGUGACGAAGCGUGAGUGACGGUAAUGGGUAAAGAAGCACAGGCUAACUACGUG